AUUGAACGCUGGCGGCAUGCCUAACACAUGCAAGUCGAACGAGUGGCGCACGUGUGAGUAAUGUCUGGGAAACUGCCCGAUGGAGGGGUAUAACUACUGGAAACGGUAGCUAAUCCCGCAUACCAUCGUAUGUACACAGAUCGGAUUACCUAGUAGGUGGGGUAACGGCUCACCUAGGGGACGGUCCCUAGCUGGUCUGCGAGGAUGACCGGCCACACUGGAACUGAGACAAGGUCCAGAAUCCGACGGGCGGCAGCAGUGGGGAAUAUUGCGCAAUGGGCGCAAGCCUGAUGCAGCCAUGCCGGGUGUAUGAAGAAGGCCUUCGGGUUGUAAAGUACUUUCAGCGAGGAGGCGUUACUCGCAGAAGAAGCAACGGCUAACUCCGUGCCAGCAGCCGCGGUAAUAC
rnacentral:rRNA from 1 species